UUCGUUUUUUUUGGGCUGAUCACUACCAGAUGCUUUGAGAAUUCUGCUUUUCCUGCCAAACUCCCCAGUGGAUUUUGGGGACCAGAUUCUUCGUCAGGUCAGUGAAAUUCUGUGUUGGUGACGUAGGUUGCAAUGAUGACUAGGGGGCAUGUGGGUAUGGCUGAAUUUUGAAAACAAGUGGAUUGAAUGAGUAGGAUCUGAAGCAUGAGUUGGGAGAUCGUCGUGUAGAGAAAAUUGGGAGAUGUUGUUGCGUCAUGCGGUGAGGCCCCUUCGAGGUGGUCUUGUCGCGACUGCGAGGCAGCAAUGGGGAUCUCAGGAAAGGAGGAUGUCGGGAAUUGGAGACAAGCAUAGAUGGGUGGCGUUGUGGGGGAAUGGAGACUAUGGGCGCCUGGGUCAGGCUUCGGGUGAAUCAUUCUGGGAACCCACUGUCUGCAAGAGUAUGCAACAUUUGCAGCCUAUUGCUUUGGCUUGUGGCGGUGCGCAUACGCUUGUUCUUACGGAGGAAGGUCGUGUCUACGCGUCAGGACUGAACGAUUGGGGUCAAUUGGGCUUGCCUUUGUCAACUGGUCACUCUAUGGAAUUUUUGGAAGUCGAGGGUUUACCAGAUGAAGCCAAAUUUACGCACAUUGCAGCUGGGGACUUCCAUUCCGCUGCUAUUUCUGAGGAUGGGCGUGUCUACAUGUGGGGUAGAAACACACAAGGGCAGCUCGGUCUUGGAAAACGAGGGAAGGGGAAAGUGUGUGCAGCACAGUGGGUGGAGUCUUUAAAGGAUUUUCGUAUACAGGCAUUAGCUCUUGGCGCUGAGCACUCGCUUGCCCUUUCUGAGGAGGGUGAGGUGCUUAGCUGGGGAACGAGCUUGAAUGGACGCCUUGGACAUGGAGAGGGUCAUAGAUCAUCUUCCAUGUUUAGUAUAUUUCGUAAAUCCAGUGAAUACACACCCAGACUAGUGAAGGGCUUUCGUGACGUCAAGGUGUCGAAAGUUGCAGCUGGACUGACUCACUCUGCCUGCCUGGAUGAGCAAGGAUCACUAUUCACGUUUGGUAAAGGUCGAGAAUGCCAACUGGGUUUAGGUGGUGAUAGAGACAUUUCUGAGCCGAAGCGAGUACCGGUCAUUCCCCCAGUGGAGGAGAUAGCUUGUGGAGGCUAUCACACUGGUGCAAUCUCUCGUGUGAAACGGUCAGCUGUACAUGUGGGGUUCCAACGAGUAUGGUUGUCUUGGUUUUGGGUACAAGCAUCAAAAUGCAACUUCGUUGCCUAUGCUUGUGGAGGGUGCCUUGGAAUCACUGAGAGUGACACAGGUUCAAUGUGGAUGGAAACAUACGAUGGCUCUCACAGUUGAUGGAGAUGUAUUCGCCUGGGGUUGGGGAGGCUCGCAAGGCACACAUGGAGUAGAUGGUCUUUCGUCUGGUGGACAAUUGGGACUUGGCAACGAGAAUGAUUUUUUGGAGCCUACACAAGUUAAGUCGAAGAACAUGAAGGCUAUUCAAAUAUCUUGCGGGUUCAAUCACUCUGGAGCAAUAUUGGAGGAGCAAUAAGCGAGGCACUAGAAUUAUCUGCUGCAUUUUGCUCAAGAGCUCACAAUCUUUGCUCUCGGGUCGAGACAGUAAUAAUGAUGGGAGUCAGGAGGUCUCAGAUGUAGAUAUCUAACUCCAGUAGCAGAUUCAAAAAACUCUAGAGAUUCCUUCAGUAGUUAGUGCCUAGUCCUGGUGUGGAAGCAUGCAGUUAGACAACGUAGCUGCAAACUGAUUCAGUUAAAGGUUCUUUGUAUCCCUAAGGAUUCUCCCUCUAAAGAUUUUGGCUCAGGUUUUGUAGAUACAAAAACUUUGAGCAUCCAAGUAGGGAUUGAUGCAAUCUCGAUGUUGAUGAGCCCUUAGCUUUUACCAUCAGAUUGCUGUGAGUCUUGUUGUUGCACAUGUUUCCACCUCAUGGUUUUUUAAUUUCAUUAAGUGGGAAACCAUUUUCUAGAUUCAA